rnacentral:tRNA from 1 species
GGAAGGGUGGCCGAGCAGGUCGAAGGCGGCAGUUUGCUAAACUGUAGUAGGGGCAUAAACUCCUACCGAGGGUUCGAAUCCCUCCCCUUCCGCCA